GGACGGGUGAGUAACACGUGGGUAACCUACCUAUAAGACUGGAAUAACUCCGGGAAACCGGGGCUAAUGCCGGAUAACAUUUAGAACCGCAUGGUUCUAAAGUGAAAGAUGGUUUUGCUAUCACUUAUAGAUGGACCCGCGCCGUAUUAGCUAGUUGGUAAGGUAACGGCUUACCAAGGCAACGAUACGUAGCCGACCUGAGAGGGUGAUCGGCCACACUGGAACUGAGACACGGUCCAGACUCCUACGGGAGGCAGCAGUAGGGAAUCUUCCGCAAUGGGCGAAAGCCUGACGGAGCAACGCCGCGUGAGUGAUGAAGGUCUUCGGAUCGUAAAACUCUGUUAUUAGGGAAGAACAAAUGUGUAAGUAACUAUGCACGUCUUGACGGUACCUAAUCAGAAAGCCACGGCUAACUACGUGCCAGCAGCCGCGGUAAUACGUAGGUGGCAAGCGUUAUCCGGAAUUAUUGGGCGUAAAGCGCGCGUAGGCGGUUUCUUAAGUCUGAUGUGAAAGCCCACGGCU
rnacentral:rRNA from 1 species